GCCUCAUGCGCUCAUCCGAACCUCCGCCUCCCUCCCUCCCCUGCGACUUUGUGAGAGUAACCAACGUGGACACCGACGAUGACUCCCCUCCCCUACGUAUCCGCGAGCAGCCGAAGAGGACCCCCUCCCCUGCGAGCCGACAACGACUCACUUCCAUAAUUUUAGGUAGGAGUGUCUUAGAAUAUGGGAUUUAUCAUAGGGAAGAUGAAAUAUUCAUGUUCUUGAUUCUUGAAAAAUGAGAUUUUCUACAGGUGGUGUCAUUUUUAUUAUUAUUAUUUUUUAAAAAUAGUGGAAUUUUGGGUUCUGGUCGUGUCAUUUUGGCCUCCUUAGGGCUUAGGCUGCCUUUGACACAGCUUUGGACAUCGACGUGUCCAGGUCGUUUCACGGCCGUGUCGUGAAUCCUCGGAUGGUGAAAGCAUUGCAUCACAAUUGGCUCUGGACGAAGCUCUAUCUAGAUAAUUAGUGUUGGGGGAUGAUUUAGAAAAUUGGUGCACACAUCAAGAAUCAAGACCAUUAUACGGUUGCUGGAAAUGGGAAUCCACUCACAGAGAAACUCCUACAAAGCUACAAUGGUCUCAUGCAACACUUCUUGCUCCCUCCAAUGAUUUUCUACACAAUGAGUAUAUUAAAUGUGUGCUUUUAGGUUUCCAUGUCUAUAUGCUAGCAGAAAGUUAAAAACCAAGGGAAGAUGAUGUUGAUCCUAACAAGUAACAAUAUGAACUAUGAGCCACAUUCAUUUAUCAAAGAGCUGCAAUUUGCAGGAAAGAGGCCUGCCCAACAAAGAGGAGUUAAAUACAACAGUUUACAGAUUAUAUGUCAUUCUGUAGUAUAGUUCAUGAUGUUAGAGAACUUGAUAUUCAAUUUUUUAUGGAUUAUUAAAUUGUUGUUUAGACAUGAAUUUGGUAUUAUUAAGUACAUCAAU